rnacentral:rRNA from 1 species
AUGAGCAUUAUAAAAAUAUUUCUGCGUUCCUCACUGCAGGUACAAUCCGUUAAUCACUGUGUUUUUCUGACCAAUUUCAUAAUUCAUGGAUUCGAUUACCUGUGUUGGCGCUGGUUCUUCCAAGUAGUUUCCCUUGUGCCCUGUUUUCUACUUGUUAACACUGAUAUAAUUGCAAGAAUACCAUGGCAAAGACAACAAGUGCUAAACAAUGUGCUUGAUCAGUAUACUACUUUCUCCUUUGUUUAUAGUCAAUUAGCUGUGAAGCUACAGAAGGCAAUUUGCUCAGAUGAAGAAUAUUGGUUUGCCUUAUUCAGGAAACAUAUUUCUUAA